rnacentral:rRNA from 1 species
GAUGAACGCUGGCGGCGUGCCUAAUACAUGCAAGUCGAGCGAACAGACGAGGCGCUUGCUCCUCGGACGUUAGCGGCGCAGGUGUGAGUAACACGUGGAUAACCUACCUAUAUGACUGGUAUCACUUCGGGAAACCGGAUCUAAUACCAGAGAAUAUAUUGAACCGCAUGGUUCAUUAGUGAAAGACGGUUUUUCUGUCACUACUAGCUGCUUACGCGCCGUAUUGGCUGGUUGUUCAGGUCACGGCCUAUCAAGGCGAGGAGGCGUAUCCGACCUGUGAGGCGGGUAGCCGACACGGGAGCUGAGACGCGGUCCAGACGACUACGGGAGGCAGCAGUCGGGAACCUUCCGCAAUGGGCGGAAGCCUGACGGAGCAACGCCGCGUGAGUGACGAAGGUGUUCGGAUCGUAAAGCCGUCUUACUAGGGAUGAACAGCUGUGUAAUUAAAUAUGGCCGUAUUGACGGUACCUGAUAAGAAAGCCACGGCUAACUACGUG